UGGGGAAUAUUGCACAAUGGGCGCAAGCCUGAUGCAGCCAUGCCGCGUGUGUGAAGAAGGCCUUCGGGUUGUAAAGCACUUUCAGCGAGGAGGAAGGGUAGUGUGUUAAUAGCACAUUGCAUUGACGUUACUCGCAGAAGAAGCACCGGCUAACUCCGUGCCAGAAGCCGCGGUAAUACGGAGGGUGCAAGCGUUAAUCGGAAUUACUGGGCGUAAAGCGCACGCAGGCGGUUUGUUAAGUCAGAUGUGAAAUCCCCGCGCUUAACGUGGGAACUGCAUUUGAAACUGGCAAGCUAGAGUCUUGUAGAGGGGGGUAGAAUUCCAGGUGUAGCGGUGAAAUGCGUAGAGAUCUGGAGGAAUACCGGUGGCGAAGGCGGCCCCCUGGACAAAGACUGACGCUCAGGUGCGAAAGCGUGGGGAGCAAACA
rnacentral:rRNA from 1 species